rnacentral:rRNA from 1 species
UUGCCUUAGUAACUGCGAGUGAAGCGGCAAGAGCUCAAAUUUGAAAUCUGGCACCUUCGGUGUCCGAGUUGUAAUUUGUAGAAGCAUCUUUUGGAUUGGUCCUUGCAUAUGUUCCUUGGAACAGGACAUCAUAGAGGGUGAGAAUCCCGUUCAUGGUGGGGAAUCCAAUUCUUUGUAAAGUGCUUUCGAAGAGUCGAGUUGUUUGGGAAUGCAGCUCUAAGUGGGUGGUAAAUUCCAUCUAAAGCUAAAUAUUGGCGAGAGACCGAUAGCGAACAAGUACAGUGAUGGAAAGAUGAAAAGAACUCCGAAAGGAGAGUGAAAAAGGACGUGAAAUUGUUGAAAGGGAAGUGCUUGAGAUCAGUCUUAAGGUUUAGUGAUCAGUCUUCCUUUUGGUUGGUGCACUCACUAUUUCUUAGGCCAACAUCAGUUUUCGCGGCAGGAUAAUGACAUUGGAAUGUGGCUCUUUCGGGAGUGUUAUAGCCUUUGUUGAUACUGCCUGCUUAGACUGAGGACCGCGCUUUUGCUAGGAUGUUGGCAUAAUGAUCUUAAGCA